AGACGUGAAAAAACUGGCCACAAUCUAUCGUCUGCAGCUAAGCUAGACCAACGUCUGCUGAGAGAAAGAAGACCAACACAAUGAGAAUCAUUUCGUUGAUUGUGUUACUUGCCUGUUGCGCUGCUACCUACGCUUAUUUUGCGUGCCCGAAUCGAGUCUACUGCUAUGUAGAUCCGUGUAUGGUUGCCAGAUGUCCCAGCAUUCCUUGGGCCGUGUGUGUGUCCGAUUAUUGCUACGGAAGGUGUUUAGCAAGGUGGUACUUCAGGGGUGUGGAGGUGACACCAUACUGCCAGUGGUAUCAUAAUUAAUAGACCAAGUCUCACCUUUCCUAGGUGAACCCAACUUAAGUCUCACUUAUACUUUACGUUUCAUUGCAUCGUAUCGUUGUUUUUCUUGAUCAAAAUAUAUUUUCUAAAUCGAAUUGUAUCUGCUUUUUUUGUAUAUUUUGUAAUUAAUGAUGAAUUAAAAUCGUGGGUUGUC